rnacentral:rRNA from 1 species
AAUCAACGCUGGCGGCGUGCCUAACACAUGCAAGUCGAGCGAGAAAGGGGCUUCGGCCCUGAGUAAAGCGGCGCACGGGUGAGUAACACGUGGGUAAUCUGCCCUUGAGUGGGGAAUAACACCGGGAAACCGGUGCUAAUACCGCAUACGAUCACGAUGUUUGCGGAUGUUGUGAUGAAAGGAGCAAUUCGCUCUUGGAGGAGCCCGCGGCUGAUUAGCUAGUUGGUAAGGUAAUGGCUUACCAAGGCAACGAUCAGUAGCCGGUCUGAGAGGACGGUCGGCCACACUGGAACUGAGACACGGUCCAGACUCCUACGGGAGGCAGCAGUGGGGAAUUUUUCGCAAGGGGGGCAACCCUGACGAAGCAACGCCGCGUGGGUGAUGAAGUCUCUUGGGACGUAAAACCCUUUCGACGGGGAAGAAACCGCAAGGUUGACGGUACCCGUAGAAGAAGCCCCGGCUAACUCCGUGCCAGCCGCCGCCGUAACAC